rnacentral:rRNA from 1 species
UAGGUAACCUACUCCCGAGUGUGGAAUAACCUGGCGAAAGCCGGGCUAAUACCGCAUAACGUCCUCGAGUCUCCGGACCUGGGGAACAAAGGCGGCGAGCUUCGAGCGCUGCCGCUUGGGAAGGGGCCUGCGUCCCAUUAGCUAGUUGGUGGGGUAAUGGCCUACCAAGACUACGAUGGGUAGCCGGGCUGAGAGGCUGUCCGGCCACACUGGAACUGAGACACGGUCCAGACUCCUACGGGAGNAG